rnacentral:rRNA from 1 species
GAUGAACGCUGGCGGCGUGCCUAAUACAUGCAAGUCGAGCGAAGCGGGGACGGGUGAGUAACACGUGGAAAACCUUCUAUAUGACUGGGAUAAAUUCGGGAAAACGGAGCUAAACCGGAUACUUAUAGAAUGAUCCGCGCUGCAGUAGCUAGUUGGUGAGGUAACGGCUUACCAAGCCAACGAUGGAUAGCCGUCCCGGGAGUGGAAUCGGCCACACUGGAACUGAGACACGGUCCAGACUCUUACGGGAGUCAGCAUGAGGGAAUCUUCCGCAAUGGGCGAAAGCGUGACGGAGCAACGCGGCGGGGGGGAUAAGGGUCUUCGGAUCGUAAACCUCUGUUAUCAGGGAAGCGGUACCUAAACAGAAAGCCACGGCUAACUACGUGCCAGCCGCCGCGGUAAUAC